UACGUAGGGGGGCAAGCGUUGUCCGGAUUUAUUGGGCGUAAAGAGCGUGUAGGCGGCUUUACAGGUCCGUUGUGAAAACUCGAGGCUCAACCUCGAGACGCCGGUGGAAACCGUAAGGCUAGAGUCCGGAAGAGGAGAGUGGAAUUCCUGGUGUAGCGGUGAAAUGCGCAGAUAUCAGGAGGAACACCCGUGGCGAAAGCGGCUCUCUGGGACGGUACUGA
rnacentral:rRNA from 1 species